CGGAUUGAAACCCGCUGGAUUGGGUGUUUAGCUGUUAACUAAGUUCUUGUAGGAUCGAGGCCUGCCAAUCUAG
rnacentral:tRNA from 1 species